AGUCCCGUGGUGUAGUGGCCAAUCAUAGAGGCCUUUGGAGCCUCUGACGGCGGUUCGAAUCCGCCCGGGACUA
rfam:Halorhabdus tiamatea SARL4B complete genome